rnacentral:rRNA from 1 species
AGCGAACGCUGGCGGCAGGCCUAACACAUGCAAGUCGAACGAACUCUUCGGAGUUAGUGGCGGACGGGUGAGUAACACGUGGGAAUGUGCCUUUUGGUUCGGAAUAACGCAGGGAAACUUGUGCUAAUACCGAAUGUGCCCUUCGGGGGAAAGAUUUAUCGCCAUUAGAGCGGCCCGCGCCCGAUUAGCUAGUUGGUGAGGUAACGGCUCACCAAGGCGACGAUCAGUAGCUGGUCUGAGAGAAUGACCAGCCACACUGGGACUGAGACACGGCCCAGACUCGUACGGAAGGGGGGAGAGGGGAAUCUUGCGAAAUGGGGGGAAGGCAGACGCAGCCAUGCCGCGUGAAUGAUGAAGGUCUUAGGAUUGUAAAAUUCUUUAACCGGGGACGAUAAUGACGGUACCCUGAGAAGAAGCCCCGGCUAACUUCGUG